rnacentral:rRNA from 1 species
CCUACGGGAUGCAGCAGUGGGGAAUAUUGGACAAUGGGCGAAAGCCUGAUCCAGCCAUGCCGCGUGUGUGAAGAAGGCCUUCGGGUUGUAAAGCACUUUCAGUGGGGAAGAAAGCCUUGGGGCUAAUACCCUCGAGGAAGGACAUCACCCACAGAAGAAGCACCGGCUAACUCCGUGCCAGCAGCCGCGGUAAUACGGAGGGUGCGAGCGUUAAUCGGAAUUACUGGGCGUAAAGCGCGCGUAGGCGGUCUGAUAAGCCGGUUGUGAAAGCCCCGGGCUCAACCUGGGAACGGCAUCCGGAACUGUCAGGCUAGAGUGCAGGAGAGGAAGGUAGAAUUCCCGGUGUAGCGGUGAAAUGCGUAGAGAUCGGGAGGAAUACCAGUGGCGAAGGCGGCCUUCUGGACUGACACUGACGCUGAGGUGCGAAAGCGUGGGUAGCAAACAGGAUUAGAUACCCGAGUAGU